GUAUCCUUUUAUGUCCUACAUGUGAGAUCUAUCCAUAAUUGAUAAAUCUAAAGUUUGGUUUAUCACAUUACAAUAAGUGAUAUAACUCUUGUAUCUCAUCUAGGAUACAACAAGACAAUUUUCAAUUCAUAACACUACUUUAAGGAAAUAGUAUAUUAAAAAGGCAUUCUUCACAUUACAUUAAUAUGAUAUUUCAAACAUUCAUAAUGUUUAAUACAAAAAGUAUUAGCUCUAUACAUUUAGAGACUAAUAUAAAUACCUUUAUA
rnacentral:lncRNA from 1 species